rnacentral:misc_RNA from 1 species
GAUGAAGAACGCAGCGAAAUGCGAUAAGUAAUGUGAAUUGCAGAAUUCAGUGAAUCAUCGAAUCUUUGAACGCACCUUGCACCCUUUGGCAUUCCGAAGGGUAUGCUCGUUUGAGUGUCAUUGUACUCUCACACUCUCUGAUCCUAUGGAUUCGGGGAGCGGUGGACUUGGGUGUUGCUGCCUUUCCCUGUGGCUCACCUCAAAUGCGUCAGUGCACCUCUUGGUUGGACAUAGUACGGCGUGAUAAGUGUCUUCGCCGGCACCUCGCAAGAGGGUGGCCGAUCGGGAGCUCUGCGCUUUCAAACCGUCUUCGGACAAUUUCUGACAUCUUGACCUCAAAUCGAGUAGGACUACCCGCUGAACUUAAGCAUAUCAAUAAGCGGAGGA